ensembl:lncRNA novel transcript, antisense to EGFL7 (HSPC324)
GGGCUCAGGCCCAGAGUGCCAGCUUUGCCCUAUCCCAUAGCCUGGAGCCACCACAGGAGGGGCACUCCACUCUCUUGGGCUCCUGGAGCCUCAGAGGCAGCUGGGCUGUGACAUGUGCUUCCUCUCGAAGAGCCAGUGGAUUUGAUGAGAAGCACCGAGAGCACCGCCCGGCUCCCGGCAUCUGCGAGGCCUCGCACAGAGCCAGCCGGGAGUGCAGGAGGGAGAACUUUCCUGUGGACGUCCUGUGUUCUCCAGACGCAGAGAACCCUCAUCAACCGAGGGGGAGGUCACUUCCGAAUCCACAGAUGGCGUGUGAGUGCAUGGCGAGCGCCUCCAGGACACACUUACUGUUCCCUUGCUCUGGCCAGACGCCAGCCGGACCCUGUGUGUGCGCGCCGUGCUGCUCUUUGCAGCUGCCUGCAAGGGGUUCCUGCGAAGACCAGCACCUUGGGGAAGAGCCUGCGGCUGAACUUGAACUCGCAGCUACCUGAGUCAGACCUGUGCUUUUUCACCUCUACGGAAGAUGUCAGAGCGUUUCCCUAGCAAUGUUUUAGAAGUUACUUCUGUCUGGAAAAAAAUGGAAAAAAUGGCAAAUUAUGUUAUGUAUAAUUUGAUAAUUUUAAAGAAUUAAUGAUGUAAUUAUUACUCAAACCCA